GAGAGCGAGAGAGAGAGAGAGAGAGAGAGAGAGAGAGAGAGAGGCGCCCGAUUUUUAAUCAUGAAUACGGGCAGCUCUGCUCAUCAAAGGACCACUGACAGUACUGUCUAAUCUGUUCUCCUUUCCCAACUCCCUCCACUUCCUAUACAUCAUGCAGUUCCUCUAUCCUGCACAUGUACGCUGUACUGUGGUUCUCUCACAGUCCUCCACCUAUUGAGGGUGACUGUGUGUGUGUGUGUAUGCCAUUCUCAGAAACAUGUCAGCAUUGAGGCUUGUAAAAUAAAAGAUCUCCUCCCUUUUGCAGUAGCUCCCACAAGUAACUGGUGCAAUUCUGUUUCAGGUAAGGGUCACUAACCUCUCCCUUUUAAAAUGCUUUACGCGGUUGGCAUUUAAUCAAAGCAUGCACAGAAAACGAGAUUUACUCCAUGUCUCACCAACGAUGAAAAGAACACACAAUGCUCUUUCAUAAUCCCUCAGGGGGGUUUACGCUAAACCUUAAGAUUUGUUGAUUUCUUUUCAGGCUCAUCUCAUUUGUGGUAGGGGUCAGAUAAGGCUGAACUGGGGUUGGUUUGUGUGUGUGUGGGUGUAGGUGUGUGUGUGUGUGUGUGUGUGUGUGUGUGUGUGUGUGUGUGUGUGUGUGUGUGUGUGUGUGUGUGUGUGUGUGUGUGUGUGUGUGUGUGAGAAUGAAUAUACAUGUACAAUUGGGAUUUUUGAUGGAAUCGAAUUUAGCUUGCUGACUUUAAACAACAUGUCACGUUCCAACAGUUUCUAGUAUUGUGCCGCAUUGGUUGUAUCGACCAGGAUUUGCUACACAAGGAACAAUGGUCAUAUUUGACCUACAGGUGGAUGUGACCUGACAGUAUGAACCAUGUCAUUCACCACUAGGUACGAUCUUCAACAACACUGCACCCAAAAAGAUGCUUAAAAACUAUGCAGAAGAACACAGAUACUUCAAGUCAAGUUGAAUACAUAAUCAGACGACCCAAUCACCACACACACACCUCAGAACUGUUGAGGCGUCCAAACGGUUGCCAGUUCAUUCCCUGGCUCCGCUGCUGUCACAAACACGGAGCGCCAGCUCUCUGAUGGUGUCGACUCCCAUGCCAGAGCUGUCUGAUCCACUUCCAGGCAGCUUAUCGUCAUGUGAGGGGGAAGAAAAGGGGGAAAGAACAUACCGGAGGAAGAGAGACACAACCGGAGCUGUUGUCCGUGACUUCAAACCCCCAAUGGAAUUGAAUGCCGGAGUGUUUGUUUGUUUUGAGCGUUCCCCCUUUGGGACCCUGGGCUUGCACCCGGAGUUUGGAGGGGUGGGUUUAGCUGUGUCACAACUUCAAAGUCAAGGAUGUGAUGCAGACCUACUGACAGAGUUCCUGUCUUGUUUGAAAGGUUGAGUCCAUAAACUGUAACAUCGCAACUCACACGUCAUUUGUAUGAUGGCAAAUUGUUGAUUUAUGAGGUGAGAACAAUCGAAUCAAUUGAAACACAAUCUUUCAAUCUUUCACAAUCUGUCCCAUGAAGCCAAAUACCCCAUACAUACACCGUAUAAUUGGCAGGAAGAUCCCAUUCCUACAGGACAUCUACCACACACGAUGCCCCAAGAAAGCUGGCAGGAUUCUAAGAAACUGUUACCACCCAUCAUUUAGCCUUUUUACCCUGUUGUCUUCUGGCAGGCGAUACCGAAGCAUUUGGUCUCGCACACGCAGACUGGACAACAAUUUAUUUCCAAGGGCCAUCAAGCUUAUGAAUGAAUAUUCACAUGGACACUGAUACACUUCUCACUAGUCACUUUACACACAGUCAAUUUCAGCUACUGGUUGCAAAAUCAGCAA